UUGCUAUCAUUUUUUUGAUAAAAGAGAGUGCCCUCUCCGAUUUUCAUUAAAAGAAAUCAUUCAGUCUUACAACUAACAGAACCAAACUAAACUACUAAUAAACUCCCUUCUGGCAUCGCACUAAACCAAUGGAGAGGAGGGGGAGCCAUCCCUCCCCCACCUAAAGCCCCCAAAGGCAGUGUCGCAUAGAGAGAAUAAAGGCCUGGGCUCUGAAGCAAGUCCCAGCCCCAGCAUUACAAAGUUUAAGAAACCACAUAGUAUCAAACAGUCUUGAGUAGACAAACUACAAGCAGUCCCCUCUACAUGGAGAGCAAAACAAGAUACAAAAGAGCAGAGUGAAGCAAAACGCAGGAAAUGCUGCCUCCCAGCAUCCAUCGCAGCAACAUAGAUCCGAGGAAACUUGAAGCUUUUUGGUCAUCCCAUAAUUCUUCUAGUCUCCAGACGCCACCCAUGUAUUGCUUUGAAUACCUCUUCAGCAACUUCACCUACUCGCUUCACUCCUGCUUCCAUCAUAUCACUUCUUGCGGGGGUUUUCUGCAAAAUAUUCCAAUCAUGUAAGUUUUUAAGAAGCAGAUUAAUAGGUAUACAUGGAUCAUUAUCCUGUUAUUAUCAAAAACCACACUAUUUCUCAAUUUCCAUAAAGUCCAACAAAUACCAGAAAUUCCUACCAUAACUAAACCUCUCUCUUCCUUUCCAAAGGUUUUAGCCCAUAUUCUCAUUACCAGAUCCAAGUCGCCUGGUAUAUCAGUUAAAUCAAAGGCACAUUUAAGGAUAUUCCACAACAACCUAGCUACAGAGCAAGAAAUGAAUAAGUGAUUUAUAGUUUCCACACGGCCACAGAAUGGACAUUUAUCAUCUCCCUUUCAUCCUCUACGGCGCAAAUUAUCUUUUGUGAGGAUACUGUUUCUAAGAGUCAGCCACAUAAAGACUUUGACUCUCGGAGGCAUCUUGAUCUUCCACAUAUAUAGAUGUGGAUAUUUGAUCCCAUUUUCUAUCAGAUGUCUAUAAUAAGAUUUUACAGUAUAUAUCCCAUUUUUUGUCAACGUCCAUUUUACCUUAUCAUUUUCCUCUCUCAAAAUCACCAGCUGCACACCUCUUUAAUGUGGUCCCACAGCUCUCUUGAGUCCCCUGUCAAAGUCCUACUAAAACUCAUGUUUUCAAUUUCUUUUGCAAAAAUCUCUCUAAUUGUUUUCUGUUUAUCAAAGCAUACAUUGUACAAUCUAGGAAAACUCCUGCACAAAGGUGCAUAUCCAAUCCACCAGUCUUCCCAGAAUCUAGUAUUCCCCCCAUUUCCAAUCUGGAAUUUGCACAGGGAAGUAAAAUGAUCUUUGUGUUUUAAUAACUCCCUCCAGAAUUGGGAAUCCCCUUGUCUAACUGUAAUGUUACCCAAUGCUUUAGAUCCCUGAUAUUUUUUUAGAAUAAUUUCCUGCCAUAAACCUUCUGUGUUAUAAAUUUUCCACCACCAUUCACAUAACAAAGCUUUGUUUAUAUGGGCAAGAUUUUGGAUUCCUAGCCCCCCCCCAUGUCUUUGGGUCUACAGACAUCAGUCCAUUUAACCAGGUGAUAUUUCUUUUUUUUAUCAUCUUCCUGCCAAAGCAACCUAACUCUAUAGAAGUCCAUGCGUUUGUUAACCCCAACAGGUAGACCAUAAAAGGACAUCAUAAAAUAAGGGAUCCAUGUCAAAGAAGAUUGGAUUAGUGUGACCCUCCCAACACUUGCAAGCAAUCUCCCUUGCCAGGUUUCACAUUUCUUCCCCAUCUUAGUUUCUGGGGGUUUCCAGUGUUUGUUUCUAAUCCUGUUCUUAUCAACUGGCAACCCUAAAAAUUUCAUAGGCAAAGUACCCACUGGACAAGUGAAUAUCUUAGCAUAUUCAUCUUUUUUAUCUUUGCCCCCCCCCCCACAAAGAGGAAGAGCUCACUUUUAUGAAAAUUAAUUUUUAGACCAAACAUUUGCUCAAAGAGGCAUAAAACAUAUUUCAGAUUAUGAGCACUAUCUAUAUCAUCCUGUAGAAGAAAGAUAUUAUCAUAUGCAUACUGCAGCAUGUUAAUUCCAUCUGUGACAUAAUCACACAAAACCCCCUUGACCAACCCAUUUUUUCUGGCACUAUCCAAGGUAAUAGCCAAAGCAUCAGCUGCCAAAUCAAAAUUCAGGGGUGAUAAAGAAUCCCCCUGUCUUAAUCCUUUACGAGUGAGAAAGAAUUUUCCUAAAUGCUCAUUAACCUUCAUACAAACGUUUCCUCCCUAACAGUUUCCAUCACCCAGUCUAUCCACUUAUCUGGAAAUCCUUUCAAAUUGAGCAUCUGAAACAAAAAGGUGAAAGUGCAACUAUCCCUAGGUGGUUUUGGUAAUUCCUAACAACAUAUAGCUCAUUGAGCUAACAUCAUUCCAAGAUGAACAUUUCAGGAAAAGCUCAAUGAAUGGCAUGGCAUGGAUGAGGAAAGUGGAUCCCUCAAAAUACUAAGGAUAAAAGGAUUGGCUCAAGCUCAAAAGCUCAAGACUCUACAUUUUAUAUUUUAGUGAUCCAAGAUCACAUUGAGUCUAUAGGAAAAGCCAAUACUAUCAAGGAGGGAUGAGGUGUUGCUUAAUGAGUUUCUUGCUUCAAGUGCUUGGUGAUAUGCUCCAAAAACCCUUAACUACUUUCUCAUAUCCACAUAUGACCCAAACCUAAAGUCAAACUCGGCCCCACCGAUUCUUUCUACCCGGCGCCACCGAGUUCAUAUGUCAUAGCCACUGCCACAAACCCUAGGCAAAUCGGUUUCACCGAUAGGGAUCUCGGUCUCACCGAGAUGGGAUUGUAAUCUCUCUGUUUCCCUUCGUAACGUUUCGGUACCACCGAGAUGAGCGAUCGGUCCCACCGAGACUGCAAUGUAAACUCUCUGUUUCCUUUUCGUAACAUUUCGGUCCCACCGAAAUGAGCGAACCGGUCCCACCGAGUUUACCUGACCAACUCUCUGGUUAGCUUAUUACCAAAAUCGGUCUUACCGAGUUUGUGUAUUCGGUCUCACCGAGAUUGCGUUAUGCCCUAACCCUAACCAUAUCGGUUCUACCGGGUUGCAUGUCGGUCCCACCGAAAAUCCUAACAGUCACUAGAUUUACUAAAUCGGUCUAACCGAGUUUGUUGAUUCGGUCCCACCGAGAUUGGUAAAUUGUGUGUAACGGUUAGAUUUUGUGUGAAGGCUAUAUAUACCCCUCCACCUCCUCUUCAUUCGUGGAGAGAGCCAUCAGAACAAGCCUACACUUCCAACUUACCAUUUCUGAGAGAGAACCACCUACUCAUGUGUUGAGGCCAAGAUAUUCCAUUCCUACCAUAUGAAUCUUGAUCUCUAGCCUUCCCCAAGUUGAUUUCCACUCAAAUCUUCUUUCCACCAAAUCCAAAUCCUGUGAGAAAGAGUUGAGUGUUGGGGAGACUAUCAUUUGAAGCAUAAGAGCAAGGAGUUCAUCAUCAACACACCAUUUGUUACUUCUUGGAGAGUGGUGUCUCCUAGAUUGGCUAGGUGUCACUUGGGAGCCUCCGACAAGAUUGUGGAGUUGAACCAAGGAGUUUGUAAGGGCAAGGAGAUCGCCUACUUCGUGAAGAUCUACCGCUAGUGAGGCAAGUCCUUCGUGGGCGACGACCAUGGUGGGAUAGACAAGGUUGCUUCUUCGUGGACCCUUCGUGGGUGGAGCCCUCCGUGGACUCGUGCAACCGUUACCCUUCGUGGGUUGAAGUCUCCAUCAAUGUGGAUGUACGAUAGCACCACCUACCGGAACCACGACAAAAACAUCCGUGUCUCCAAUUGCGUUUGAAUUCUCCAAACCCUUCCCCUUUACAUUCUUGCAAGUUGCAUGCUUUACUUUCUGCUGCUCAUAUACUCUUUGCAUGCUUGCUUGAAUUGUGUGAAGAUUGCUUGACUUGUGAUAAGAUAGCUAAAAUCUGCCAAAGACUAAAAUUGGGAAAAGGUUAAGUUUUUAAUUGGUCAAGUAGUCUAAUCACCCCCCUCUAUACAUACUUCAAGAUCCUACAAGUGGUAUCAGAGCUUUGGUCUCCAUUUGCUUUGAUUUCCAUAACUUUUGGUGGUCAUAGCCUUGGUUUCACAACCUAGGAGAGUAUGGCGUCUAGCGAGGGAAAUUAUCACUGUAGAGGUCCUUACUUUCAUGGUAUAAAUUUUGCUAGUUGGAAGCAUAAGAUGAAAAUGCAUAUUCUCGGACAUAACCCCGCCGUUUGGGCUAUUGUAUGUAUUGGCUUGCAAGGUGAAUUCUUUGAUGGGAGAGAACCAAACCGUGAAGCUAGCGUGGAAGAGUUGAAGAUGCUGCAAUACAACGCUCAAGCUUGUGAUAUCCUCUUCAACAAAUUGUGCCCCGAAGAAUUCAACAAAAUCAGCCGUCUUGAGAAUGCAAAGGAAAUUUGGGAUACUUUGAUUGAUAUGCAUGAAGGUACUGACUCCGUCAAGGAAUCCAAGUUGGAUGUGCUCCAAAGUCAACUUGACAAGUUCAAAAUGAAGGAUGGUGAAGGUGUCGCUGAAAUGUACUCUAGGCUUGCUCUUAUCACAAAUGAGAUUGCGGGCUUAGGAAGUGAAGAGAUGACCGACAAAUUCAUCAUCAAGAAGAUCCUAAGAGCAUUGGAUGGAAAAUAUGAUAUCGUGUGCAUAUUGAUCCAAAUGAUGCCCAACUACAAGAAUCUCAAGCCAACGGAAGUCAUUGGAAGAAUUUUUGCUCAUGAGAUGUCACUCAAGGAUAAGGAGGAACUUCACAACAAGUCAAGUGGUGCUUACAAAGCCUCAUGUGAAGCUCCUACAUCAUCAAGUGAGAAACAAACCUUCAAUGAAGAAUUGAGCUUAAUGGUGAAGAACUUCAACAAGUUCUACAAGAGUAGAAGCAAAGAGAGAAGCUCCAAGUCAAGGUCCUACAAUGACAAAAGAUCUUCCAGUCGAGAGCGCAAUUGCUAUAAUUGUGGGAGACUCGGACACUAUUCCAAUGAGUGUACGACACCCUACAAAAGAAGAGAAGAUUCUCCCAAGAGAAGAAGUAGAAGAGAAGAAUCACCGCCAAGAGAGAGAAGGAGUAGUGAUGAUCGUUAUGAACGAAGAACAUCCCGGAGAAGCAAGGAUUCGGAAAGGAGGGACAAGUCAUCAAAGAGCUACACAAAACGAAGACAUCAAGCUCAUGUUGGUGAAUGGGUAUCCGGUUCCGACUCUGAACAUCACUCCGAGAGAAGCUAUCACUCCGACUCCGAACAUACUCAAGAUGAAGGUGUUGCCGGUCUAGCACUUGUGUCAACCAACUCCUACGACAUAUUUGAUUCACCAAAUGAAGGACUUGGAAGAUGCUUCAUGGCUAAAGGCCCUAAGGUAACACACCCCGAGUAUGUUGAUUUCAAUAGUGAUGAAGAUGACUUGUUAGGUGAUGAUGAUUUACUUAUUGACAACUCUAGUGAUGAAUACUAUGAUGAAACGUCAAUUAAUCAUGCUAAUCAAGAUAAAACGAAUGACAAUGAUAAUGAGAAGAUUGAGCUUCUUACUAAAGAACUAAACACUCUUAAGUUAGCUCAUGAAACUAUCUUAGAAGAUCAUCGAGAACUUUUAAAGACUCAUGAGAAAUUAUGCUUUGAAAAGCUCAACCUUGAGCAAGAGCAUGAGUUCUUAAAAGCAAUCAAUGAUGAUCUCUGUAAGAAAAGUUCUUCUUACAUUGCCAAGCGUUUACUCUUAUCUACUUACAUGCCUCAAGUCAAGUCUAGUAACAAAAACAAGAAGGAUUCUUCCUCUAGUAGUAAAAAUCAUCAUGUUAAAUCCAAUAUUGUUGCUUCUAGUAGUUCUCUUGAUUCCACUAAUGAUUCUCUUAGCCAAGUUACACUUGAGCAAGAAAAUAGCUUAUUGAAGGGAAUUAUAGAGAAAGGUGUUUACAAGAGCCCUGCCGAGAGUAAGCAAUUCGAGGAAACUGUAUGCAAGCAAGGAAGGCACCGGAAGAACCAAGGUGUUGGUUUUGAACGAAAGCUCAAUGCCAAUGGAGUUGAGUGGGAAGAAGAUCAAUAUCCCAAGACGAAGUUUGUUCCUCAACAAGAGAAGUAUGAUCCUACUUCCUUCAAGGGGACACAAGCUCAAGAUGAUCUUCCACCACAAGACCACAAGCAAAAAGGCAAGGACAAGCUUCAAGAGGAGAUUGAUGCAUUUGAAGAAGCUCCUAAGGCCUUGGUCAAGUGGGUUCCCAAGACUAUGUCAAGUUCUACUUCAUCAAGUACGACUACAACUCCAAGUAUUCCCAUCAAGAUGAUGUGGAUCCCGAAGAAGAACUAAAGAGUUCUUGAGGGUGACUCCGCCAACAUUCUUCACUCAUAUCAUUAUGGCAAGGACAAGUGCAAUCAACUUCCACAUCUUGCACUAGUUCAAAGAGUCACAAACCCUCUUGUUGGUAAGACAAGGGACAAGGUAACCUAAUGCUUUCAUGGCAUCAUCUUGUGUGUGCAUCACUCUAUGUCUAUGGAUAUACUUGUUUGUUCCUUGUGGGACUAACCCGUGUAGGUAUUGAAAGUGCAACUCACUCCAAAGGAUUGCUCCAAAUGAUCUUCAUCAACAUUGAGCAUCCACAUCUUCAACACCU
rnacentral:lncRNA from 1 species